rnacentral:rRNA from 1 species
GGUUUGGGAUACCCCGGGAAACUGGGGAUAAUACCAAAUGUUUCAAGGUUGCUGGAAUGCUCUUUGAUUGAAAGCUUCGGUGCCUGAGGAUGAGUCUGCGGCCUAUCAGGUUGUAGUGGGUGUAAUGUACCUACUAGCCAGCGACGGGUACGGGUUGUGAGAGCAAGAGCCCGGAGAUGGAUUCUGAGACAUGAAUCCAGGCCCUACGGGAUGCAGCAGGCGCGAAACCUUUAUAAUGCGCGAAAGCGCGAUAAGGAGACCCUGAGUGCUAGCACAUAGUGCUGGCUGUCCAGCUGUUUAAAAAGCAGUUGUUAGCAAGGGCCGGGCAAGACCGGUGCCAGCCGCCGCGGUAACACCGGCGGCCCGAGUGGUAACCGAUUUUAUUGGGCUUAAAGCGUUCGUAGCCGGUUUAGUAAGUUUCUUAGGAAAUCUAGCAGCUUAACUGUUAGACGUCUAAGAGAUACUGCUAUGACUUGGGACCGGGAGAGGUAGGAGGUACUCCAAGGGUAGGGGUGAAAUCUUGUAAUCCCUGGGGGACCAUCGAUGGCGAAGGCAUCCUACCAGAACGGGUUCGACGGUGAGGGACGAAAGCUGGGGGCACAAACCGGAUUAGAUACCCGGGUAGUCCCAGCUGUAAACGAUGCUCGCUAGGUGUCAGAUACGGUGCGUCCGUAUUUGGUGCCGUAGGGAAACCGUGAAGCGAGCCGCCUGGGAAGUACGGU